rnacentral:rRNA from 1 species
AUUGAACGCUGGCGGCAUGCCUUACACAUGCAAGUCGAACGGCAGCACGGGAGCUUGCUCCUGGUGGCGAGUGGCGAACGGGUGAGUAAUGCAUCGGAACGUGCCCUGAAGUGGGGGAUAACGUAGCGAAAGUUACGCUAAUACCGCAUAUUCUGUGAGCAGGAAAGCAGGGGAUCGCAAGACCUUGCGCUCUGGGAGCGGCCGAUGUCGGAUUAGCUAGUUGGUGGGUAAAGGCCUACCAAGGCGACGAUCCGUAGCGGGUCUGAGAGGAUGAUCCGCCACACUGGGACUGAGACACGGCCCAGACUCCUACGGGAGGCAGCAGUGGGGAAUUUUGGACAAUGGGCGGAAGCCUGAUCCAGCCAUGCCGCGUGAGUGAAGAAGGCCU